rnacentral:lncRNA from 1 species
GUCAAUCAAACCCAAGGCCUCACUUGCCCUAGAAUUGAGUUCUUCAAUAAUGAAGUGGGAGAAAGAGGAAGAAAUACAAUAGCCCCCAUGGCAAUCCAGGAACAUAGCCCCUGCAGAUAAGGGGGGGACUGCUGUAUUCCGGAAAGGGGCUGCCAGAAUGUCAGAGCGGUAGGGAAAAAACAGACCAACCAUGUGCCGAAAAAAUCAGAAGAAAAGAAAAUGAAGAGGACAAAUGAAGCCUAGGGCUACAAGUAUUUGAAAAUGUAAAAAAUGUGGCAAGUACGGACUGUGGAGGAAUUCAAGUUUAUAUACAUGGUUGGGAGCAGGAAAUGUGGAGAAUAAAAAUUUCCUGUGCCUUCUGAAAUGCAUCCCCUUUGUCUAAGAUUUUCAAGACCUGGCUUCUGCCAUCACACUUGGCUUCGGGAGAAAAGCUUGGAAGACCAUGGCUUGAAAUAUCAGAACUAUUGAGAGGGUCUUGAUAUUUUCAGCUCAUUUUCUUUGGAUGACCACCCUCCCCUCUCACGAGGCCCUUGAGAAGCAAACAGGCACUCUUUCUUUCCAUGCUGAAAUGAAGAAAUGACUGAGUGAGUAUGUAAUGACUCGUGGAAGACCACACAGCAAGUUGGAAGAAGAUUCUGGAUUAGAAGCUUACAAUUUUCAUGUCACCCCCAGGAGUGCAAAACUGGUCCACAAGCAAAGUUUUUUUUAAGACAUAGAGGCCUCAAGAUGCAUGCUGAUCCACAG